rnacentral:rRNA from 1 species
UACGUAGGGUGCAAGCGUUGUCCGGAAUUAUUGGGCGUAAAGAGCUCGUAGGCGGUUUGUCGCGUCUGCCUGUGAAAACUCAGGGCUUAACCCUGAGCCUGCGAGUGGGGUACGGGCAGACUGAGAGUGUGGUAGGGGAGAUCGGAAUUCCUGGUGUAGCGGUGGAAUGCGCAGAUAGUCGAAGGAGGAACCGCCGGUGGCGAAGGGCGGGGUCUCUGGGGCCCGAUACUGACGCUGAGGAGCGAAAGCGUGGGGAGCGAACAGG